AUACAGUGUGUUGUGUGUAUAUAAUGUAGUGUGUGUAUAUAAUGCAGUGUGUAGUGUGUGUGUAUAUAAUGCACACACUACAUUAUAUACACACACUGCACACUA